ensembl:lncRNA
CUCCACUCUCCUGUCUCUGUGCUCCAGAAAAUUCCUCAACUCCUGAAACCAUCAUUUGUCAAAAGCUCAUUAUCAGUCCGAUCCAAUGGUUCCUAGACGAAGAACUCUCAACAGCCAAUGCCUCCAAUCUGCCUCCACCGCAGUGUCUUCCCAAUCUGUUAUAUGUACCCAAGAAUCAAUGCACAGCCAUCAUACUCUCUGGGUCAUACUCACAUACUGGGCCUCUUCUCUGGGAACUGACUACUCAGGGGCCAGUGUAACUCUCACACUGCUUAAAGAUCGCAUCUGGUGAUCUAACAUGGCUCAAGAGGUGAGAAGGUUCGUACACAGAUGUAAGGAAUGUGCUAUCUCAAAGAGGCCUUACCAUCUACCAUCUAGCAAACUUCACCCGCUGCCCGUUUCUCAACACUCCUGGUCACAGAGCUGCUUCCAUACUCUGGUAAUACCUGCAUACUAGUCAUCAUUGAUCGUUUCUCUAAAUCCUGUCAUCUGAUUCCCCUCAGGAACUUACCCACUGCCAUGGAGACUGCAGAACUCCUAUUCUAGCAUGUGUUAUGAUACUUUGGUAUCCCAGAGGAUAUCAUGUCAGAGAGCGGUCUACAAUUUAUCUCACGAGUGUGGAAGGCAUUCUACACCCUCCUAGAUGUGACCGUGAGUCUCUUGUCUGGUUAUCAUCCGCAGUCUAAUCGGCAGAAGGAGAGAAAGAUCCAGGAAGAUGGGAGAUUCCUGUGAGCCUUCUGCCAUAGCCACCAGAACUCCUGGAACCAGUUCCUCGGCUGGGCCGAGUACGCACAGAACUCUCUUCAUUCAGCUACUACAGGGUUGACCCCCUUCCAGUGCGUAGACAGCUACCAACCUCCCAUGUUCCUGUGGUCAGGGGAGCCUUUGGACAUACCAUCUGUCGACCACUGGUUCCGGGAGAGUGAGAGAGUCUGGGAUGCUGCCCAUCACCACCUUUAAAGGGCAAUGACAGAGGACCCAGAUCGAUGCCUGGUGGACUAACACACCUCUAUAUCAACCUGGGCAUCAGGAUGUGUGUGUCAUGUAAGAAGCUAUGUCCAAGAUACAUUGGUCCCUUCCCCAUUGUCCUGCAGAUCCAGUCACCUAUCAACUCCAAUUACCAUCUGAGGGGGGCAGUACUGUAACUUAAGUGUCAGGCUCCCUCACCUCUCAGUCAGAAUGUGCACCAUCUCCUGAGUACUAAUCACCCGCAUCUGAUCUGG